UACGUAGGGGGCAAGCGUUGUCCGGAUUUAUUGGGCGUAAAGAGCGUGUAGGCGGCCAUACAGGUCAGCUGUGAAAACUCGAGGCUCAACCUCGAGACGUCGGUUGAAACCGUAUGGCUAGAGUCCGGAAGAGGAGAGUGGAAUUCCCGGUGUAGCGGUGAAAUGCGCAGAUAUCGGGAAGAACACCCGUGGCGAAGGCGGCUCUCUGGGACGGUACUGGACGGCUGAGAGCGAAAGCGUGGGGAGCAAACAGGG
rnacentral:rRNA from 1 species